AGCGCAGGCGGUUUCUUAAGUCUGAUGUGAAAGCCUUCGGCUUAACCGGAGAAGAGCAUCGGAAGCUGGGAGACUUGAGUGCAGAAAAGGACAGUGGAACUCCAUGUGUAGCGGUGAAAUGCGUAGAUAUAUGGAAGAACACCAGUGGCGAAGGCGGCUGUCUGGCCUGUAACUGACGCUGAGGCUCGAAAGCAUGGGUAGCGAACA
rnacentral:rRNA from 1 species